AACGAACGCUGGCGGCAGGCCUAACACAUGCAAGUCGAACGGACGUAGCAAUACGUUAGUGGCUCACGGGAGAGUAACGCGUGGGAACCUACCUUUUGGUUCGGGAUAACAUCGGGAAACUGGUGCUAAUACCGGAUAAGCCCUUCGGGGGAAAGAUUUAUUGCCGAAAGAUGGGCCCGCGUUGGAUUAGCUAGUUGGUGAGGUAAUGGCUCACCAAGGCAACGAUCCAUAGCUGGUCUGAGAGGAUGAUCAGCCUCACUGGGACUGAGACACGGCCCAGACUCCUACGGGAGGCAGCAGUGGGGAAUAUUGGUCAAUGGGGGAAACCCUGAUCCAGCCAUGCCGCGUGAAUGAUGAAGGCCUUCGGGUUGUAAAGUUCUUUUGGUGGGGACGAUGAUGACGGUACCCACAGAAUAAGCUCCGGCUAACUUCGUGCCAGCCGCCGCCGUAAUAC
rnacentral:rRNA from 1 species